rnacentral:misc_RNA from 1 species
CUUCAUGUUCACCGUGGUUCUCUUUUCUCUCCUUUUCUCGCCGGCUAUACCUUUGUUGUGGUUGGAGGCGGCGCCCCGCUUUUUUUUUGGCCUGUUUUGUUUGAUAUUCGAUUACGUUAUUAGAACUCAUUCGCUCUCGCCCUAACCCCCGCGCUCGUCGCCGGUUCUCUUCUCUGUCACCUCCAUAGCAGGAGCAGAUUGGACUUCGUCUCAGUGGGGUUCUUUUUCAUUUUUUCGUGGUUUUUGCUUUCACGGACGCAGGUAAAGGUACCACGCACUCACACUCAGGCGCGCGCGCCACGCAAGCAGGCAUCAUGUUGUCCGAGGAGGAGCAAAAACGACAGUUGUACAGCCGCCAGGAGUACGUCGUAGGGUCGGAGACGCAGGCGAAAUACGGCUCGACGCAUGUGCUCGUCGUCGGCGCCACAGGCCUCAGUGCAGAGAUUAUCAAGAACGUUGUGCUCACUGGCGUGAAGAGCGUCAAGGUGCUGGACGACGCUGUGGUGACCAUCGAGGAUCUCGGCACGAACUUCUUUUUGCGGCCGGAUGAUGUAGGAAAGGCACGUGGUGCUGCUGUGGCGCAGGCCGCCAAGGAGCUCAACCGUUUCGUCGAGGUCUCGUCCGUUAGCGGCGACCCGCUCUUGCACAUUCCCGCGGUGCAUGUGGUGAUCUACACAAAUGCCUACACGUCCACCCUAGCGGCGGCGAACAAGGUGGCGCGGGCGAACAAGGUGAAGUUCAUCAGCUGCGAGAGCCGCGGCGUUUGCGGCUGCAUCUUUGUGGACGGCGGCGAAUCUUUGGACAUUGUGGACACGGACGGCGAGGACACGGUCACGUGCGUGGUGACGGCCAUGUCGUCGGAUGGUCUCGUCACGUUGCACGAGGAAAAAAACCACGAAUGUGAGGCCGGCAGCAAGGUAUACUUUACAGGCCUCAAGGAGCUGCCGCAGGCCAACACGACGGAGCCGGCGACGCCAUCGGCGUGGAAAUUGUUCGAGGUGGCCGAGGUCAUCUCGCCACACACUAUGCGCCUGAAAGGCGUUUCGGAGCUCGUCAGCGCUGGCACUAUCAUCAAUGUCGGGACGAGUGCUUACCUGCACACCACCAAGAAGGGGCGUAGGGAGCACUACAGAACGCUCGGCGAGUGUCUCGACAACCCCGAGUGCCUCAUGGUCUUUGACAAAGAGGAGAAGUGCACGGCAGCCAACACGCUGCAUGCGAUGUUCACUGCGGUCGCCCGCCACGGCUGCGCGCCAACCUCGCCGGCUGAAGUGGAGGCUGUCGUGAAGGCGGCGCAGGCCAUUAACCCGAACGCAGAGGCAACCGUCAUGCGCACGCUGUUGCCUGUCUUUGGCGGCGACCUGAACCCGAUGGCGUGCUUUAUUGGUGGCAUGGCGGCGCAGGAGGCGCUGAAGGUGUGCAGCGGAAAGUUUACACCGCUGCACCAGUGGGUGUACUAUGACGCGCGUGAGGUGCUGCAGGUGUGGCAGUACGGAGCGAAGACCGUCUCUGCGUCAGCCUUGUCCUCGUCGGUGGCGGUGUUCCCCGAUGCGCCGGCGGCGCGAUCGCGGUAUGCUGGCCAGGAGGCAGUGCUCGGCCACACGUUUCAGGAGUACCUACGGCAGCAGAAGGCGUUCAUCGUCGGCGCCGGCGCGCUCGGCUGCGAGCUCAUCAAGAACGCUGCUUUGAUGGGUUUCGGCGAGGUGUCCAUCACGGACAUGGACACGAUUGAGAUGAGCAACCUGUCUCGACAGUUCCUCUUCCGCAGCCACCACAUUGGCCGCCCAAAGUCCGUCGUGGCAGCUGAGGCGGCCGGCCACAUCAACGCCGAGGUGAAGAUAACGGCGUACGAGGCCAAGAUGGGACCGGAGACGGAGGCGAUUUUUAACGAGGACUUUUGGGCGCAACAGGCGGUCAUCCUCAAUGCGCUGGACAACGUCAUGAGUCGCAAGUACGUGGACAGCCGCUGCCUGUUUUAUCAGAAGCCGCUGCUGGAGAGCGGAACGCUCGGCACGAAGUGCAACAUGCAGCCCGUUAUCCCCUUUGUGACGGAGAGCUACAGCAGCAGCUACGACCCGCCGGAGAAGGGCAUCCCGCUCUGCACGCUCAAGAACUUCCCGAACGCGAUCGAGCACACGAUUCAGUGGGCCCGUGAUCUGUUUCACUUGCUCUUCGUCAGUGUGCCAGCGGACGUGAACCAGUACCUGAACGACCCGGUCGCCUUCGCGAACAGUCUGCGCAACGACCCGGCUGCUGCUGAUGCGGUCGUGCAGAAUGUGAACGACGCGCUGAGCCGAUGGCCCCAAAAUGAGCAAAACUGUGUACGACUCGCGCGUCUUCUGUACCAAGAGCACUUCAACGACGGCUUCCGCCAGCUCCUGCACAACAUCCCGCUUGACAAGCGCAACGAGGACGGGCAGCUGUUCUGGAGCGGUGCAAAGAAGCCGCCGACGCCACAGGAGUUCGACGUCAGUUCGGAACAGGACACCGAGUUUGUCUACCACUGCGCCUGCCUCUUCGCCAAAGUGUACCAGCUACCGGCCUUCUCGCUCUCCAAGGAGGAAACGGCAAGACUGGCGGCGGCCGUGACAGUGCCCGACUUUGUACCGCGCCACGCCGUGUUCGCCACGUCUGAGAGUCAGACAUCGCAGCAGACGUCGUCUUCCAGCGGGCUGACAGUGGAGCAGCUGCCCCCGGUUGCCCACUUCGGCUCGCGCCGCAUGAGUGCCGAGGAGUUCGACAAGGACGACAUCACAAAUCACCACGUGCAGUUUAUCACGUACUGCUCCAACCUGCGCGCUCGAGCCUACAGCAUCCCUGUCGCAGACUUCAACCAGACAAAACGCAUCGCAGGCAACAUCAUCCCUGCCAUGGUGACAACCACGUCUCUCGUCACGGGGCUCGUCGGCUUUGAAAUGCUCAAGUACCUUCUCAUCCAGUUCCAUCACGCGCGGAAGCCCGCAGUGAAUGGGACGGGCAGCAGCCACAACAAGUUCUACCUUGACGCAGAUGAGGAGCCCGAGAAGCUGGUAACGCUUUUCCGCAGCGCCUUUGUGAAUAUCGCUCUCCCAUUCAUUGCCUUUUCGGACCCGAUCAUCGCGCCGAGUCACUUGUACGCACUGCCGAGCGGCAAGAAGCUGCGAUGGGGCAUCUGGGACCGCAUCGACGUCUCGGAGGGUCGUGACAUGCUUGUCAAGGAGCUGGUGCAGCUACUGCACGACCGCUACGAGCUCGAAGUGUUCAUGAUUGCGCUCAAGAAUGGAAAAAUGAUCUACACCGAGUUUGGAGGGAAGGCGAAGGACAAGGAGAAGCGUGUCUCAGAGGUUGCGCAAGAUAAAGGCGAAAAGGCUCAGGACGGCAUCGACUACUUUGACCUCGUCGUCACCGGCAUGAUUGGCGACAACGACGAUGUUGAUGUGCCCAUCAUCCGCUACCGCUAUCGCUUCUAAUGUGCGGCCGCAUGGUGUGGCCAUCUACGGCCACAGGGGAUGACUAAUGGCGAUUUGGAGGAGGAGGAGGAUUCACGUUGAGUGGUGUGCAGCGGGGGGCUGGUGCGUGAUUCCACGUCUUCCCCUUCCCCGUUUUUUUUUUCGUUGUUUCCGUAUGUAAGGGUAUACGUGUGUCGACACCCUGCGCUGCCAUCCAUGCGGAAGAGGAGGAGGGCAGAGGAAGUAGUAGCGAGGUGCCCAUGGACACAAGGGUUGCCUGUGUGCUUUUUUUUUUUGAAGUUAUUGUUCCAUAUUCUGCCGCCAUCUUAGCUGCACGAUAUCUUGUGGAGGGGAGGUUGUAGUGCUGCCAUUGCUGCGCGACGUACACUAGAGCGGUGUACACCCUCCUCUUACCUUUUCCCUGUCCACUCUGUUGUGGUUCACGGAACACCCCAGCCAACGGAACGCGCGCGCACACGCACACAGAAGAAACAAAAAGGGAAAGUGCUUAUCAAGGCUGACACCACGUCGUCUGCCUCCCCACCACCACUCCCACCACCACCUCACCCUUUUGCAACGUUCUCUGCUAUCUUUGGUCGAUGUACUUGAAUGGCAUCUGUAUUAUAUAUAUAUAUAUAUACAUGUUAUAAUUAGUUUUAGGGGGAGGGGGAGGGAAGGCAUGAAAAACAGUGUAGAUGAGCUAGCACAACGCGCACGCACGCUUGCUUGCAUGCGCUUCUUUCAUCUGCACACACAUAUGUGUGUUGCCCUCGAUGGGCACGGAUGGGGAGGCUAUUCGCAAGGUUGACGCCGCAUACGGCGAGAAAGACCAAAGAAGCUUUUUUCACCAACCCAACCACGGAGACCCCUCUGGCAUGAGCACCAUCUUUCCGCUGUUCACGUUAUCCUUUCCUUGUAUACUACUUGUUCCGCAGCGGCUCCUCCCCGGGCGUCGACAAGGUUCACCCUGAGAGCUUCAAGGCCUUCCCAGUGCACGGCAAGAGAGCGCGGCUGGACAUCUACAAGAAGAGUGUUGCCACCGGCCGCGUUGCCGCUACAUAGAAAAGGGUGUAGGGGCACAAUGAGCCCCUCCUGAUGCCGCGCAUGCCCGGUGGUGGUCCCGCGCCCUACCGCCCUGCCCUGUAACGCCGACCGGCACCCGGCACAAAAAGCCCCUUCAGCGAAUCGCCUCGCAACGACUGCGCGAUCAUUCUGCGAGACAGGCUCCAGCCGCGCCCGUACGGCCUCCAUCCUUACCCCUCUCCGCUGUAGACUCCCUCGGCUUGAUCCUCCACCCCAACAAGCCGGUGCCGCGCCACCAAGGUACACCGAGACAGCCGCGGCGUUUGUCGACCUUACGCCGGCACACUCGGCUGCGUACAUCACGGCGCCUCAGAGGCCCAACCGCGGCCCGCACCACACUCGCCGCAUCAUGGCUCUCCCACACCAUCGCUCCGCCCUCUGUGUUCGCGCCCACAAGAACACGUCGAAGAUGGCAAGGCUUGCAUGCCCAGUCACACAACCAUCCCUCAUGGACCCUCUUCGCCUCAUCAUGGUGGUGGACCCCCCCCCCUCCCCCCAAGCGUGCAGCGCGACCGGACGCCGGCACGGCACCACGCCAUCUGUGCUCAUCACACCACACUUCCCACAUCCUCCGCGGGCAAGGAUGUCAUGCAGGGCACGCUACGAUUCGUCCCCUGCAAGGUGGCGCGCUGGACACUGGAGCACGCCAGGCAGCUGGAUGAGCAUCCCCCAACACAAGGCGCACACGCGCCGGUGCGCGGCACCGCGACCAGCAGCAGCUCUCCGCUGCACGCGCGUGCCUGGAGGAGCAUCGCCACCCACGCCUUCUCCGCGUGCACAUCCAGCCCACGCGCCGCAUCGGCCCGAACGCUGCCGAGGCCAACAAAGUGCCCACGUCUCGGCCUGCCGAGCGCAGGGGGGGGGUCUGCCCGCACGAAUGUGGUCCAUUAAAGAAGCGCCUCCGCUACUCCUACAUGGCACGGCUUGAAUCAACGGUGCUCCACGGUGCCGUCGCGUGGUGGGAUGGUGCUGGUCAGAAACUGCACGAGGGCCCCUGUGCACCCUCACACCAAAGCAGCCGCAGCCAUCGUGGGUGCCCCAAAAUAUGCAGAUAGCGGACACCCGCCGGGAGAGGCCGAUCCACUGCCCCCCGACCCCAUAGCGCUGUUGCGCCGCACCUGCCUGCAUCCGUCCGCGGCCACGCCAGGAGGCCGCCUUGCGCACUUGGCGUGGGGAUGGGUGCACGCGCCGCAUGGCGGUGCCGUCACAACGCCCCCGCAGCUCUCACGCCGGUGUGCAGGCAUCGACACCCCUCGGGAGCCCCGCGCGCGCACGCCUCCGUUAUGCGCAGCGAUCGCGUGUGCGUCAGCGUAUCAUUUCCUGCCGGGCUGCGGGCGCACCCGCCGGACGAGGAAGAAGCCAGCGUCGUGCGUGCAGCGACUCUCCCAUGUUGCGGCGUUGCCGUACUCGCUGUGGGCAGAUGGACAUCAAGAUAGGCGCAGCCGCGAUGCGCUAUCCUGAUGACGCACUCACAGGCACACAGACAGGGGGCUGCGGCCCACUUGCUUGCGGCCCCGGCGCGGAGUGUGGAGCCGGGACCUGACCUGCUGCGAAAGACUGCUGGGAAACCAAGACAUAGGAAAACAAGUGCGGCUGCUGCCACAGGUUCGCUCUCCCUCCUCGUGGCGCUCUCAGGGCGGGCCCUGCGAUUGCGGAGGGUGGCCCGUCGCGUGCGCCUCUCACUUGGGUGUGUCUGUGAUCAUUGUGGAUUGGAACACGUGGACAAGGUGGGCAAGCCUGCAACAUGAGCAAUGCCGGAAGCACCGGCACCAACUCUAUGGAUUACCGAUUUGGUCGUACUGCUCUCCGAUGCCGGGCCAGCGUCCCCCUAUUACCCGCCCGACAGACGCCGCCGCUGGUGCCGCUCGAGCAGGGCUCUGAGCGCGGCCCGCUUGGAUGGCGGCGUGCAGCGCACGCGCGACGAAGGGAUGCGGAAGGACGAGACGAGCCCGUCAGACACACGACCCGAUACGACGGCAGGACGGUGCGCGCUAGACGACCAGGGGUUGGCCGCAGCGCGACCGCGGGGGGUGGACUGUGGCUGUGUAGGCGCAUGCUUUGGCUGGCUUGUCUGUG